CCUAAUUUAUUGCUUAUUUUAAUAGCCAGCCUGGUUGCUGUAGCCACAGAGGAAUUUUCAAGGACAAGAACCAGUGCUGGUAAAACUGUGGUCUCGUGUGGUUUUCCAUACCGGCUCUCGGCAAGGAUUUUCAAGAAAGGAAUACCAUCUCCAAAUCAUGAUGUGCCAAUAAGCUCCAGUUAGCUGCGGCCUUUUCCCCAGGCGGUAGUCCUGCAAUCUGAAUCCAGGAGAUGCAGCUCUGAAUCCAAUAUUUCAGAAGAAUGAAGAUGAAGCAGACCCAGGAGGAACUGUCUGUUGAAGACCCCCCCUCCCCCCCCCACCAAGCUGCCCACCAGAGGCCAAGCUGUACUUGGUGUUUGCCAACAUGCUGUAAUUUCCAGCCUGGUUGCUGUAGCCACAGAGGAAUUUUCAAGGACAAGAACCAGUGCUGGUAAAACUGUGGUCUCUGUGGUUUUCCAUACCGGCUCUCGGCAAGGAUUUUCAAGAAAGGAAUACCAUCUCCAAAUCAUGAUGUGCCAAUAAGCUCCAGUUAGCUGCGGCCUUUUCCCCAGGCGGUAGUCCUGCAAUCUGAAUCCAGGAGAUGCAGCUCUGAAUCCAAUAUUUCAGAAGAAUGAAGAUGAAGCAGACCCAGGAGGAACUGUCUGUUGAAGACCCCCCCCCCCCCACCAAGCUGCCCACCAGAGGCCAAGCUGUACUUGGUGUUUGCCAACAUGCUGUAAUUUCCAGCCUGGUUGCUGUAGCCACAGAGGAAUUUUCAAGGACAAGAACCAGUGCUGGUAAAACUGUGGUCUCUGUGGUUUUCCAUACCGGCUCUCGGCAAGGAUUUUCAAGAAAGGAAUACCAUCUCCAAAUCAUGAUGUGCCAAUAAGCUCCAGUUAGCUGCGGCCUUUUCCCCAGGCGGUAGUCCUGCAAUCUGAAUCCAGGAGAUGCAGCUCUGAAUCCAAUAUUUCAGAAGAAUGAAGAUGAAGCAGACCCAGGAGGAACUGUCUGUUGAAGACCCCCCCCCCCCCACCAAGCUGCCCACCAGAGGCCAAGCUGUACUUGGUGUUUGCCAACAUGCUGUAAUUUCCAGCCUGGUUGCUGUAGCCACAGAGGAAUUUUCAAGGACAAGAACCAGUGCUGGUAAAACUGUGGUCUCUGUGGUUUUCCAUACCGGCUCUCGGCAAGGAUUUUCAAGAAAGGAAUACCAUCUCCAAAUCAUGAUGUGCCAAUAAGCUCCAGUUAGCUGCGGCCUUUUCCCCAGGCGGUAGUCCUGCAAUCUGAAUCCAGGAGAUGCAGCUCUGAAUCCAAUAUUUCAGAAGAAUGAAGAUGAAGCAGACCCAGGAGGAACUGUCUGUUGAAGACCCCCCCCCCCCCCACCAAGCUGCCCACCAGAGGCCAAGCUGUACUUGGUGUUUGCCAACAUGCUGUAAUUUCCAGCCUGGUUGCUGUAGCCACAGAGGAAUUUUCAAGGACAAGAACCAGUGCUGGUAAAACUGUGGUCUCUGUGGUUUUCCAUACCGGCUCUCGGCAAGGAUUUUCAAGAAAGGAAUACCAUCUCCAAAUCAUGAUGUGCCAAUAAGCUCCAGUUAGCUGCGGCCUUUUCCCCAGGCGGUAGUCCUGCAAUCUGAAUCCAGGAGAUGCAGCUCUGAAUCCAAUAUUUCAGAAGAAUGAAGAUGAAGCAGACCCAGGAGGAACUGUCUGUUGAAGACCCCCCCCCCCCCCACCAAGCUGCCCACCAGAGGCCAAGCUGUACUUGGUGUUUGCCAACAUGCUGUAAUUUCCAGCCUGGUUGCUGUAGCCACAGAGGAAUUUUCAAGGACAAGAACCAGUGCUGGUAAAACUGUGGUCUCUGUGGUUUUCCAUACCGGCUCUCGGCAAGGAUUUUCAAGAAAGGAAUACCAUCUCCAAAUCAUGAUGUGCCAAUAAGCUCCAGUUAGCUGCGGCCUUUUCCCCAGGCGGUAGUCCUGCAAUCUGAAUCCAGGAGAUGCAGCUCUGAAUCCAAUAUUUCAGAAGAAUGAAGAUGAAGCAGACCCAGGAGGAACUGUCUGUUGAAGACCCCCCCCCCCCCCCCAAGCUGCCCACCAGAGGCCAAGCUGUACUUGGUGUUUGCCAACAUGCUGUAAUUUCCAGCCUGGUUGCUGUAGCCACAGAGGAAUUUUCAAGGACAAGAACCAGUGCUGGUAAAACUGUGGUCUCUGUGGUUUUCCAUACCGGCUCUCGGCAAGGAUUUUCAAGAAAGGAAUACCAUCUCCAAAUCAUGAUGUGCCAAUAAGCUCCAGUUAGCUGCGGCCUUUUCCCCAGGCGGUAGUCCUGCAAUCUGAAUCCAGGAGAUGCAGCUCUGAAUCCAAUAUUUCAGAAGAAUGAAGAUG